UACGUAGGUGGCAAGCGUUGUCCGGAUUUACUGGGCGUAAAGAGCGCGCAGGCGGUCGAAUAAGUCGCAUGUGAAAGCCCCCGGCUUAACUGGGGAGGGUCAUUCGAUACUGCUCGACUUGAAGGCAGGAGAGGGAAGUGGAAUUCCCGGUGUAGUGGUGAAAUGCGUAGAUAUCGGGAGGAACACCAGUGGCGAAGGCGACUCCCUGGCCUGUUCUUGACGCUGAGGCGCGAAAGCUGGGGGAGCAAACGGG
rnacentral:rRNA from 1 species